GACGAACGCUGGCGGCGUGCCUAAUACAUGCAAGUCGAGCGGAGGUUUUCUGGUACUUGGACCGGAAGAACUGAGCGGCGAACGGGUGAGUAACACGUAAAGAACCUUCCUCUUAGGCGGGGGCAACUGUUGGAAACGAUAGCUAAUACCGGAUAACAGCAUUAACUGGAUGGUUGACGUUUGAAGGUUCGUUUUGGUAACACUAUGAGAUGGCUGUGCGGUGCAUUAGCUAGUUGGUGGGGUAAAGGCCUACCAAGGCGACGAUGCGUAGCCGACCUGAGAGGGUGAUCGGCCACACUGGAACUGAGACACGGCCCAGACUCCUACGGGAGGCAGCAGUAGGGAAUCUUCCGCAAUGGGCGCAAGCCUGACGGAGCAACGCCGCGUGAGUGAAGAAGGCUUUCGGUUCGUAAAGCUCUGUUGUUAGGGAAGAAUGACUACGGAGUAACUCUACGUAGUAGCGACGGUACCUAACCAGAAAGCCACGGCUAACUACGUG
rnacentral:rRNA from 1 species